UAUUUGACGGCACGUCUAUGGCCUCAUUAAGCAUUUCUUUAAAAAAAUGUGAGGUUCAUAAAUUAAG